CGCUCCUAAACGUGGGAACCCCUGUACAUCUGGAUAGAUUCAGUGAGGCCUGGCAGGGGGAUAUGGGAAAAAAAUUCGAUGAAACCCAAUGGGCAAAAGCAGUAACGGCACACAAGGGGAAGACAUUGUGUACAACACACCUAGAAUUAAUGAGGAAAGUGUAUUAUAGAUGGUACAUGGUGCCAGCCAGACUGGCAAAAAUAUACCCAGAAACAUCCGCACAGUGCUGGAGAUGUGGG